rnacentral:lncRNA from 1 species
CAGUGGUAUGAUAAUGGCUCACUGUAACUCAAACUCCAGGGCUCAAGUGACCUGCCUCAGCUUCCGAAGUAGUACAUUUUGCAGAUGAGAAAACUCAGGCUCAGAAAAGUGACAGAUUGGCUCAAAUUUUCAUAACUAAUAAAUGAACCAAGCUCACUCUGAUUCCUUCAUCAUUUUUAUUCCAAAACAAUUUAUUGAUUGUAAAAGACUCACAUUUUAAAUCAUAAAGUUUCAUAUUUUCCGUUUUCUACAUGUUCUUGUCCUGAGUAACAGGACUGACUAUGAGAGACUUCACAUAAAAUGAAUUUCGCACAUGGAAGGAAAAAACCUUCAGUAGCAUGAUGGCCUUCAUUAUAGAUUUGUGACUUAACAUCUAUAUGUUAAAUCACAAAACAAGUCUUAAAACAUUCAAAAAAUUGAAAUUAUAUCAAGCAUCUUCUCUCGCUCCUCACUUCCCAGACGGGGCAGCCGGGCAUAGGCGCUCCUCACAUCCCAGACGGGGCGGCCGGGCAGAGGCGCUCCUCACAUCCCAGAUGAUGGGCAGCCAGGCAGAGACGCUCCUCACUUCCUAGACGGGGUGGCGGCCAGGCAGAGGCGCUCCUCACUUCCCAGACGGGGCGGCCGGGCAGAGGCGCUCCUCACUUCCCAGACGGG